rnacentral:misc_RNA from 1 species
UUUCCGUAGGUGAACCUGCGGAAGGAUCAUUAAAGUUAUAGUCCCCCGGACCCCUGGGCUGGGGUCUUCUGUACCACUCUUUGUCUAUUAUACCUUUGUUUCUUUGGCAGGCCUGCCCUCGGGCUGCGGGAUCCGGCCGGCUCGCGUCUGCUAGAGGACCUAAACUCUGUUUGUAUAUGAAGACUGAGUACUAUAUCAUAGCUAAAACUUUCAACAACGGAUCUCUUGGUUCUG